GACGAACCGUGCGAACGUUGUUCGGAAUCAUUGGGCGUAAAGCGCACGUAGGUGGUCGUUUAAGUUGGAUGUGAAAGCCCUCGGCUCAACUGAGGAAGUGCAUCCAAAACUGAUCGGCUAGAGUACGAAAGAGGGUCGCGGAAUUCCCGGUGUAGAGGUGAAAUUCGUAGAUAUCGGGAGGAACACCAGUGGCGAAGGCGGCGACCUGGUUCGAUACUGACGCUGAGGUGCGAAAGCGUGGGGAGCAAACAGG
rnacentral:rRNA from 1 species